rnacentral:rRNA from 1 species
UACGGAGGGAACUAGCGUUGUUCGGAAUUACUGGGCGUAAAGCGUGCGUAGGCGGCUUUGCAAGUAGAGGGUGAAAUCCCAGAGCUCAACUCUGGAACUGCCCCCUAAACUGCAAAGCUAGAAUCCUGGAGAGGUGAGUGGAAUUCCUAGUGUAGAGGUGAAAUUCGUAGAUAUUAGGAAGAACACCAGUGGCGAAGGCGACUCACUGGACAGGUAUUGACGCUGAGGUACGAAAGCGUGGGGAGCGAACAGG